AUGAUGUCAUUGAAUCAUAGAAUCAUAGAAUUGAUUGGUUAGAAAGGACCUCAAAAAUCAUCUAAUUGUAACCCCCCUGCCAUGGGCAGAGACACCUGCCACUAGACCAGGUUGCUCAAAGUCUCAUCCAAACUGGUCUUGAACCCUUCCAGGGAUGAGGCAUCUGUAGCUUCUCUGGGCAACCUGUCCCAGUGUCGUACAAACCUCACAGUGAAGA